UUUCGGUCAAAUCAUGUAUCAUUUUAGUGGCGGACGGGUGAGUAACGCGUGGGUAACCUGCCUUACACUGGGGGAUAACACUUAGAAAUAGGUGCUAAUACCGCAUAAGCGCACGGGGCCGCAUGGUCCUGUGUGAAAAACUGAGGUGGUGUAGGAUGGACCCGCGUCUGAUUAGCUAGUUGGCGGGGUAACGGCCCACCAAGGCAGCGAUCAGUAGCCGGCCUGAGAGGGUGGACGGCCACAUUGGGACUGAGACACGGCCCAAACUCCUACGGGAGGCAGCAGUGGGGGAUAUUGGACAAUGGGGGAAACCCUGAUCCAGCGACGCCGCGUGAGUGAAGAAGUAUUUCGGUAUGUAAAGCUCUGUCAGCAGGGAAGAAAGAAAUGACGGUACCUGACCAAGAAGCCCCGGCUAACUACGUGCCAGCAGCCGCGGUAAUACGUAGGGGGCAAGCGUUAUCCGGAAUUACUGGGUGUAAAGGGAGCGUAGACGGUUAUGUAAGUCUGGAGUGAAAGGCGGGGGCCCAACCCCCGGACUGCUCUGGAAACUAUAAAACUAGAGU
rnacentral:rRNA from 1 species